rnacentral:lncRNA from 1 species
GGGAGGAGACCUUACAGGGGAUUUAAAACCAGCCCCAGAUGCAGCCAGGAUCAGGUGGCCAGCACAACUCCCAGGCAUCAGCUCAGACCAUACUGGGCUCAGCAGGAUGAAGGUGAGAAUAUUGUCCUGACAAAGUGUCCUCUGCUGUCUCUACUGAUAGAUACAGUGUAUCACAUAUUAAUAUAACUAUUGUAUGAUCAGACUGUACUGAUAGAUACAGUGUAACAAUGUGUGAUAAUGUAACUAUUAUAUGAGCAGAGUAUACUAAUAGAUACAGUGUAACAAUGUGUGAUAAUAUAACUAUUGUAUGAGCAGACUGUACUGAUAGAUACAGUGUAACAAUGUGUGAUAAUAUAAAUAUUGUAUGAGCAGACUGUACUGAUAGAUACAGUGUAACAAUAUGUGAUAAUAUAACUAUUGUAUGAGCAGAUUGUACUGAUAGAUACAGUGUAACAAUGUGUGAUAAUAUAACUAUUGUAUGAUCAGACUGUACUGAUAGAUACAGUGUAACAAUGUGCGAUAAUAUAACUAUUAUAUGAGCAGAGUGUACUAACAGAUACAGUGUAACAAUGUGUGAUAAUAUAACUAUUGUAUGAGCAGAGUGAACUGAUAGAUACAGUGUAACAAUGUGUGAUAAUAUAACUAUUAUAUGAGCAGAUUGUACUGAUAGAUACAGUGUAACAAUGUGUGAUAAUAUAACUAUUUUAUGAGCAAAGUAUAGUAAUAGAUACAGUGUAACAAUGUGUGAUAAUAUAACUAUUAUAUGAGCAGACUGUACUGAUAGAUACAGUGUAACAAUGUGUGAUAAUAUAACUAUUAUAUGAGCAGACUGUACUGAUAGAUAUAGUGUAACAAUGUGUGAUAAUAUAACUAUUGUAUGAGCAGACUGUACUGAUAGAUACAGUGUAACAAUGUGUGAUAAUAUAACUAUUGUAUGAGCAGACUGUACUGAUAGAUACAGUGUAACAAUGUGUGAUAAUAUAACUAUUAUAUGAGCAGACUGUACUGAUAGAUACAGUGUAACAAUGUGUGAUAAUAUAACUAUUGUAUGAGCAGAGUGUACUGAUAGAUAUAGUGUAACAAUAUGUGAUAAUAUAACUAUUAUAUGAGCAGAGUGCACUGAUAGAUACAGUGUAACAAUAUGUGAUAAUAUAACUAUUGUAUGAGCAGAGUGUACUGAUAGAUACAGUGUAACAAUGUGUGAUAAUAUAACUAUUGAAUGAGCAGACUGUACUGAUAAAUACAGUGUAACAAUGUGUGAUAAUAUAACUAUUGUAUGAGCAGACUGUACUGACAGAUACAGUGUAACAAUGUGUGAUAAUAUAACUAGUGUAUGAGCAGACUGUACUGACAGAUACAGUGUAACAAUGUGUGAUAAUAUAACUAUUGUAUGAGCAGAUUGUACUGAUAGAUACAGUGUAACAAUGUGUGAUAAUAUAACUAUUGUAUAAGCAGACUGUACUGACAGAUACAGUGUAACAAUGUGUGAUAAUAUAACUAUUGUAUGAGCAGAGUGUACUGAUAGAUACAGUGUAGUAAUAAGUGUUCAUGUAACAGUUGCAAUUCCACAAUUAGAUUAAAUGUAAAAUCUGCAUUAUAUAUAUUACACUAUUAAUUACAAUGUAAUUAUCUUUAAAAUUAUAUGUAUUAUUCAUUACAAUUUAAUCAUUUGUGAUAUUAUAUGGACUAUACUAUUAGAUAAAAUGGAUAAUCUGUAAAAUGUUAUGUAUUGUACUAUUUCAUACAAUGUAAUAAUCUGUGAUAUUAUAUGGAUUGUACUGUUAUAUAAAUAAGGUAAAAUGUUAUUCUGUUCAUAAUAUUGUAAUCAUCUGUAAUAUUAUAUAUAUAUUGCACUGCUAGCUACUAUAUAUAUAUAUAUAUAUAUAUAUAUAUAUAUAAUAUUACCAUAUAAUAUGCAGUGAUAUUAUAUAUAUUGUACGGUUAGCUACCAUGUAAUAUUCUGUAAUAUUAUAUAGAUUGUACGGUUAGUUACCAUGUAAUAUUCUGUAAUAUUAUAUAUAUUGUACUAUUAGCUACCAUGUAAUAUUCUGUAAUAUUAUAUAUAUUGUACUGUUAGCUACCAUGUAAUAUUCUGUAAUAUUAUAUAUAUUGUACUGUUAGUUACCAUGUAAUAUUCUGUAAUAUUAUAUAUAUUGUACUAUUAGCUACCAUGUAAUAUUCUGUAAUAUUAUAUAUAUUGUACUGUUAGCUACCAUGUAAUAUUCUGUAAUAUUAUAUAUAGUACUGUUAGCUACCAUGUAAUAUGCUGUAAUAUUAUAUAUAUUGUACUAUUAGCUACCAUGUAAUAUUAUAUAUACUGUACUCUUAGCUACCAUAUAAUAUGCAGUUAUAUUAUACAGAUUGUACAGUUAGUUACCAUGUAAUAUUCUGUAAUAUUGUAUAUAUUGUACUGUUGGCUUCCAUGUAAUAUUGUGUAAUAUUAUAUAUAGUGUACUGUUAGCUACCAUGUAAUAUUCUGUAAUAUUAUAUAUAUUGUACUGUUAGCUACCAUGUAAUAUUCUGUAAUAUUAUAUAUAGUACUGUUAGCUACCAUGUAAUAUGCUGUAAUAUUAUAUAUAUUGUACUAUUAGCUACCAUGUAAUAUUAUAUAUACUGUACUCUUAGCUACCAUAUAAUAUGCAGUUAUAUUAUACAGAUUGUACAGUUAGUUACCAUGUAAUAUUCUGUAAUAUUAUAUAUAUUGUACUAUUAGCUACCAUGUAAUAUUCUGUAAUAUUAUAUAUAUUGUACUGUUAGCUACCAUGUAAUAUUCUGUAAUAUUAUAUAUAUUGCAUUGUUAGCUACCAUGUAAUAUUCUGUAAUAUUAUAUAUAUUGUACUGUUAGCUACCAUGUAAUAUUCUGUAAUAUUAUAUAUAGUACUGUUAGCUACCAUGUAAUAUGCUGUAAUAUUAUAUAUAUUGUACUAUUAGCUACCAUGUAAUAUUAUAUAUAUUGUACUGUUAGUUACCAUGCAGUUAUAUUAUACAGAUUGUACAGUUAGUUACCAUGUAAUAUUCUGUAAUAUUAUAUAUAUUGUACUGUUAGCUACCAUGUAAUAUGCUGUAAUAUUAUAUAUAUUGUACUAUUAGCUACCAUGUAAUAUUCUGUAAUAUUAUAUAUAGUACUAUUAGUUACCAUGUAAUAUGCUGUAAUAUUAUAUAUAUUGUACUAUUAGCUACCAUGUAAUAUUCUGUAAUAUUAUAUAUAGUACUAUUAGCUACCAUGUAAUAUUCUGUAAUAUUAUAUAUAUUGCAUUGUUAGCUACCAUGUAAUAUUCUGUAAUAUUAUAUAUAGUACUGUUAGCUACCAUGUAAUAUGCUGUAAUAUUAUAUAUAUUGUACUAUUAGAUACCAUGUAAUAUUAUAUAUACUGUACUCUUAGCUACCAUAUAAUAUGCAGUUAUAUUAUACAGAUUGUACAGUUAGUUACCAUGUAAUAUUCUGUAAUAUUGUAUAUAUUGUACUGUUGGCUUCCAUGUAAUAUUGUGUAAUAUUAUAUAUAGUGUACUGUUAGCUACCAUGUAAUAUUCUGUAAUAUUAUAUAUAUUGUACUGUUAGUUACCAUGUAAUAUUCUGUAAUAUUAUAUAUAUUGUACUGUUAGCUACCAUGUAAUAUUCUGUAAUAUUAUAUAUAGUACUGUUAGCUACCAUGUAAUAUGCUGUAAUAUUAUAUAUAUUGUACUAUUAGCUACCAAGUAAUAUUAUAUAUACUGUACUCUUAGCUACCAUAUAAUAUGCAGUUAUAUUAUACAGAUUGUACAGUUAGUUACCAUGUAAUAUUCUGUAAUAUUAUAUAUAUUGUACUAUUAGCUACCAUGUAAUAUUCUGUAAUAUUAUAUAUAUUGUACUGUUAGCUACCAUGUAAUAUUCUGUAAUAUUAUAUAUAUUGCAUUGUUAGCUACCAUGUAAUAUUCUGUAAUAUUAUAUAUAUUGUACUGUUAGCUACCAUGUAAUAUUCUGUAAUAUUAUAUAUAGUACUGUUAGCUACCAUGUAAUAUGCUGUAAUAUUAUAUAUAUUGUACUAUUAGCUACCAUGUAAUAUUAUAUAUACUGUACUCUUAGCUACCAUAUAAUAUGCAGUUAUAUUAUACAGAUUGUACAGUUAGUUACCAUGUAAUAUUCUGUAAUAUUAUAUAUAUUGCAUUGUUAGCUACCAUGUAAUAUUCUGUAAUAUUGUAUAUAUUGUACUGUUGGCUUCCAUGUAAUAUUGUGUAAUAUUAUAUAUAGUGUACUGUUAGUUACCAUGCAAUAUUCUGUGAUAUUAGAUGUAUUGUACUGUUAGUUACCAUGUAAUAUUCUGUAAUAUUAUAUAUAUUGUACUGUUAGUUACCAUGUAAUAUUCUGUAAUAUUAUAUACAUUGUACUGUUAGUUACCAUGUAAUAUUCUGUAAUAUUAUAUAUAUUGUACUGUUAGCUACCAUGCAAUAUUCUGUAAUAUUAUAUAUAUGGUACUGUUAGCUACCAUGUAAUAUUCUGUAAUAUUAUAUAUAUUGUACUGUUAGUUACCAUGUAAUAUUCUGUAAUAUUAUAUAUAUUGUACUGUUAGCUACCAUGUAAUAUUCUGUAAUAUUAUAUAUAUUGUACUAUUAGCUACCAUGUAAUAUUCUGUAAUAUUAUAUAUAUUGUACUGUUAGCUACCAUGUAAUAUUCUGUAAUAUUAUAUAUAUUGUACUGUUAGUUACCAUGUAAUAUUCUGUAAUAUUAUAUAUAUUGUACUGUUAGCUACCAUGUAAUAUUCUGUAAUAUUAUAUAUAUUGUACGAUUAGCUACCAUGUAAUAUUCUGUAAUAUUAUAUAUAUUGUACUGUUAGCUACCAUGUAAUAUUCUGUAAUAUUAUAUAUAUUGUACUGUUAGUUACCAUGUAAUAUUCUGUAAUAUUAUAUAUAUAGUACUGUUGGCGACCAUGUAAUAUUCUGUAAUAUUAUAUAUAUUGUACUGUUAGCUACCAUGUAAUAUUCUGUAAUAUUAUAUAUAUUGUACUGUUGGCUUCCAUGUAAUAUUUUGUAAUAUUAUAUAUAUUGUACUGUUAGCUACCAUGUAAUAUUCUGUAAUAUUAUAUAUAUUGUACUGUUAGUUACCAUGUAAUAUUCUGUAAUAUUAUAUAUAUAGUACUGUUGGCGACCAUGUAAUAUUCUGUAAUAUUAUAUAUAUUGUACUGUUAGCUACCAUGUAAUAUUCUGUAAUAUUAUAUAUAUUGUACUGUUGGCUUCCAUGUAAUAUUUUGUAAUAUUAUACAUAGUGUACUGUUAGCUACCAUGUAAUAUUCUGUAAUAUUAUAUAUAUUGCAUUGUUAGCUUCCAUGCAAUAUUCUGUAAUAUUAUAUAUAUUGUACUGUUGGAUUCCAUGUAAUAUUUUGUAAUAUUAUAUAUAGUGUACUGUUAGCUACAAUGUAAUAUUCUGUGAUAUUAGAUGUAUUGUACUGUUAGCUACCAUGUAAUAUUCUGUAAUAUUAUAUAUAGUACUGUUAGUUACCAUGUAAUAUUCUGUAAUAUUAUAUAUAUUGCACUGUUAGUUACCAUGUCAUAUUCUGUAAUAUUAUAUAUAUUGCACGGUUAGUUACCAUGUAAUAUUCUGUAAUAUUAUAUAUAUUGUACUGUUAGCUACCAUGUAAUAUUCUGUAAUAUUAUAUAUAUUGCACUGUUAGUUACCAUGUAAUAUUCUGUAAUAUUAUAUAUAGUACUGUUAGCUACCAUGUAAUAUGCUGUGACAUUAUAUAAAUUGUACUGUUGGCUUCCAUGUAAUAUUUUGUAGUAUUAUAUAUAUUAUACAGUUAGUUACCAUGUAAUAUUCUGUGAUAUUAGAUAUAUUGUGCUGUUAGUUACCAUGUAAUAUUCUGUGAUAUUGUGACUAUACAGACUAAUAUCGUCCGUGGGUACUUCCACUUACUUGCACAGGUGAUCACUAUACUAGGUGCUAUUACCUGGGCUUCGAGUCCCUUUAUCCACCAGCAUUCACAUUAAAGCAGAUCUUUGAUAGUUACAGCAAGGAAAGAGACAACCAACUUCUAUCUAGCUACAAACAGCAACAACCUUUAUUUUCAAACAGCAACUGCCAGGCAGAUAUUUCAGCAUCGGGGGAGGCUCUGCAUCUUAUAGAAAAACUUAAACUCUCUUUCAGCUGGCAAAAGGUAGUAAAAAGGGACAACAAGUUGACGGGUCACUUUCCAUUCCUGCCGCACCUCCCUCACACUACUCUCCCUGUACAGCAGACCCCCUCCCAAAAGAUCCUCUCCUUCUGUAGUCCUACCUCUCCUGUCUCCGGCCUGUCCCUCAUCCCAGCUAAACUAGGGUCCACUAGGGUCUCCUGACUCAGCAGGGUUAGUCCAGGCAGUCUUAGUCAGAUCAGGGGGGUUUGAUCUUGUGACAAAACCCCUGUUUUAUGAAUGCCAAGACUGUUGUAUUUCGUCUGCUGUUCAUGUAGUUAGCCCUAUUUCGUUCUUUUCAUAAAAAAACGGACAAACUACCGAACAGCCAGACCACCUGCACUGGGAGUGUGCAGCUCAUUAAUCGCCCUGAAGCUGCGGUUAACCACAGCUAUUUAACGAAAGGCUGGAUGGUUUGAAUGAACACGUGGCGGCGGCCAUUUUAAACUGACGAAUGCCCGGCGGUGUUUGGUCGUCGACUGUGUGGAACUAUUUUCGGCCACAAUUUCACACGAAAACCGCUGGGACUAUCUAACUUCCACCUCAUUAGUUUCUAUUUACACGAAUGCCAUGCCGUUCGGUGCAUUUAACACUCGAAUGAGACCGACCCCAGGUAGCUNNNNNNNNNNNNNNNNNNNNNNNNNNNNNNNNNNNNNNNNNNNNNNNNNNNNNNNNNNNNNNNNNNNNNNNNNNNNNNNNNNNNNNNNNNNNNNNNNNNNCAAUCCCUGGAGCUAAUUUUGGACAUAUUUUAAACGAACAGUCAGGGAACAAAAUCUUUAGCUCCAUGGCGAUUUGACUGUGUUCGUGGGAUCUGAGCGCUGUUCUGCNNNNNNNNNNNNNNNNNNNNNNNNNNNNNNNNNNNNNNNNNNNNNNNNNNNNNNNNNNNNNNNNNNNNNNNNNNNNNNNNNNNNNNNNNNNNNNNNNNNNUAUAUUGAGCGCUCAGACCCAAGUUACCAUGUAAUAUUCAGUGAUAUUAUAUAUGUUGUCCUGUUAGUUACUGUGAAGAAAUUCCCCUCUUUUGCUUUAAAAUGACAAUUUGUAUUCCCUUCUUUUAUGUUAGCUUUCCCUAUGGCAUUCGGUAGGUAAAACUACCGAAUCGAGACCACCCCGAUGCCCAUUAUGAAUACUUUACCUCCCUGCUUGCUGGGCAUGUUCGACAAAAGUUCUGCACGAACGGUAUGCACCGCCGCCAUUUCGGGACUUCCACGUGUUCGCGGCUAUUUUAGCUCCCGAACAGCAGUGUUUGCCGUCGAGUGUCUGGAACUGAAAACGGACACUCAAAUAGGCGAACACCGCUGAAUCCUCCAUACCUUCGGUAAAACCCCAUUAAAACUACUGAACGACCGGGCGUUCGGUAGAAAGACUCACUGACAGAUGGGGAGUCAAGCGAACCAAGGAUGGUAGCUGGAUGGCCGGCCGUUCGGGAGGUUUUUUCAUGCGACCGAAGACCGACUGCAGGGCCAGAAUUCAUGGAACUGUUUUCGGCUACUUUGCCCGUGCAGUCGGUCAAAACUUCUAAGUCCCAUAUCUCCCGAACGGCUGAACCGAAUGGACUGAUUUUUUCAUAUGUUGGUCCCCCAGAGUACAGCUAUCAAGUCCUUGGGGUACAUCCAGACUUUGGGGAAAUUAUGUUCCGUUUUAAUUAUGUUUAAUGGUUAUCUGAGGGGAGGAGAUUUAUGUAUAUUGUUAGGAUUGGAUGUACAGUUAAUUAUAUGGGAGGCUCCCUUGCAUGGGCAGAAUUCCAUAAAAAGAGCAUGCCUGUCAAUAAAUCCUUAGUUCAUCUUUGUACCCUUCUUCUGACUACGUAUGCUGUAGCGGAGAGGCAGUAUAAUCCACGAUAUCUCCGCUGGGUAACAGGAACAACAAAGGAUAAUCCAGGGAAUCAGCAUACAAUAAUCCAAACAGCACUGCAGUAACCCUUCCCUCCCAGGAACUAGACGACACAUAGGCUGGGAGUCAACUGAGGUCUUUUAAUUCAGCUCCACAAUUUAUACAAGUCCCCAUGCAAGGGGUUUCCUGAGUCCCCUCCCAGGGGCAUUCCCAGAGGGGACUGCAUGGGGGACUUACAAUACAGGACAUUUCUCCCAUCAGGCACUGCUGCACGAGAGGGAUCCUCCCACUGGAAUAUACCGUUAAGUGGAUUAUCCCUCCGUGCAGCAGAACUCACAAUUCAUAUUAAAUUCAAUAACUUCAUGAAUAUCUGGGUUAUUUAAACGAAUGGACGUUCGGUAGAUAGCUGGGGUCUGAGCGCAUCAUUCGUGAGAUUACCGCUCAGAUCCCAGCUAAAACAACCGAACGCCGCACGAAAAACACAUUCACUAACACAUAGCCUGAAAACACCGAUUACAGAUAAGGGAAUAAAAUACCGAAUGUCCCGGACCUCCCGAACGGUCUGGAGGUUCAGCGGUGUUCGCGCCGUCGAGUAGCCGUUUUUAGUACCACGCGCUCGACGACCAAACACCGCUGAGGGAACAUAGGAUUCAAGAUGGCCGACCGCCGCAUGGUCGGUAGUCGAACGGUGGCCACCCAGGAGAGCCUCUAAUUACCGAUUGCAACAUUGUUGCAAUCGGUUAAUAGGCGCCACAUGCCUCUAAGUGUGUGGGCUAUUAAAGGAUAUUUCGUUCGGUUCCCGAACGGCCCGCAAAGGUGCCGUUCGUGAAACGAAGGGGAAUCAGCUAUCUGCGUUCGGCAGAUAGCCCAGGCAGGCAAUACAUCAUUAACAUUGCAUUACAAUACAUGCUGGAACACACAAUAGGAACCCCAUACCGGCAACCCUUAAAGGGACAGUACAGAUGUAUUUAAUAAUGUCCAAGUGGCUAGGUUUGCCACAUAUGCUGUUUGGGAGUUCGUGUGUUUUACUGAGGGAAUUAUCCAGGGACACUAUUGGAAUUACACUGGGAUUCGUCUACCAUAACUACCGAACGGAGGGCUAUAUUCACUAGGCUCUGACGGUUCGGGAGGAGGUUUAAAUGUACUUGGUUUCCUUACAGUUACCAUGUAAUAUUCUAUGAUAUUAUAUAUUGUACUUUUAGUUACCAUGUAAUUCUGCGAUAUUAUAUAUUGUACUAUUAGCUACCAUGUCAUAUUCAGUGAUAUUAUAUAUUGUACUGUUAGUUACCAUGUAAUAUCCUGUAAUAUUAUAUAGUUUAAUGUUAUUUACAAUAUUUUCAGGUUUGUAACAGUGUGUAUAAAAUAUAAUGUAUAGUUUACUAGUUUUAUAACAAUCAAUUUAUAAUAAAAUCAAUAUUUUCUAACUUUCACAUUUGUGUGUAUAGAUUAUAAUGUAGAUGUUACUAAGUUUAUAGCACUGGGUAUAGAAUAUAAUGUAUAUUUUGUUAGGUAUACAGCGCUGGAUGUGGAAUAUAAUGUAUAUUUUGUUAGGUAUACAGCGCUGGAUGUGGAAUAUAAUGUAUAUUCUGAGGUUUAGAGCACUGGAUGUGGAAUAUAAUUAUAUAGUGUUAUAGCGAGACUGCAUGGUGGAGCUGAUGGUAGCACCGUUGACUUGGAGGGAGACAGACACAGGAGUAACAACACUUGAGGGAGGAACGACCAGAAUUUCAGUUUUGGUCAAGUUUAGUUUAAGGAAGUGGGCAGCCAUCCAGUUAGAAACAGCAGAGAGGCAGUCAGAGACACUAGUCAAGAGGGACGGGGAGAGAUCAGGAGAGGACAGGUAGAUUUGCGUGUCAUCUGCAUAGAAAUGAUAUUGGAAGCCAAAGAUUAAUUAUCUAGAUCUGGAUGUGGAAUAUAAUGUUUGUUUUGUUAGGUAUACAGCACUUGUUACAUAAUAUAAUGUCUAUUUUGUUAGGUAUAUAGCACUGGGUAUAUAAUAUAAUGUUUAUUUGUUUAGGUAAACAGUACUGGGUGUAGAAUAUAAUGUACUGGGUGUAGAAUUUAAUGUAUAUUUUGUUAGGGUUAUAGCACUGGAUGCAUAACAUAUAUUGUUAGGUAAAUAGCACUUGUUAUAGAUUAUAAAGUAUAUUUUGUUAGGUAUAUUGCACUGGGUAUAGAAUAUUAUGUAUACUAUGUUAGUUAUAUAGCACUGGGCACAGAAUAUAAUGUAUAUCUUGUUAGUUAUCUAGCGCUGGAUGUGGAAUAUAACAUAUACUUUGUUAGGUAUACAGCACUUGUUAUAGAAUAUAAUGUAUAUUUUGUUAGGUAUAUAGUAUUGGAUAAAGAAUAUUAUGUUCAUUUUGUUAGGUAUAUAGCACUGGGCGCAGAAUAUAAUGCAUAUCUUGUAAGGUUUAUAGCACUGGAUGCAGACAAUAAUAUAUAUUUUGUUAGAUUUAUAGCACUGGGCAUACAUUAUAAUGUUUAUUUUGUUAGUUAUAUAGCACUGGAUGCAGAAAAUCCUAUAUAUAUUCUGAGGUUUAGAUCACUGGAUACAGAAUAGAAUCACAUACUGUUAGGGUUAGAGUACUGGAUACAGAAUAGAAUCACAUAUUGUUAGGGUUACAGUACUGGAUACAGAAUAGAAUCACAUAUUGUUAGGGUUAGAGUACUGGAUACAGAAUAGAAUCACAUAUUGUUAGGGUUACAGUACUGGAUACAGAAUAGAAUCACAUAUUGUUAGGGCUACAGUACUGGAUGCAGAAUAGAAUCACAUAUUGUUAGGGUUACAGUACUGGAUACAGAAUAGAAUCACAUAUUGUUAGGGUUACAGUACUGGAUGCAGAAUAGAAUCACAUAUUGUUAGGGUUACAGUACUGGAUACAGAAUAGAAUCACAUACUGUUAGGGUUACAGUACUGGAUACAGAAUAGAAUCACAUACUGUUAGGGUUACAGUACUGGAUACAGAAUAGAAUCACAUAUUGUUAGGGUUACAGUACUGGAUGCAGAAUAGAAUCACAUAUUGUUAGGGUUACAGUACUGGAUACAGAAUAGAAUCACAUAUUGUUAGGGUUACAGUACUGGAUACAGAAUAGAAUCACAUAUUGUUAGGGUAACAGUACUGGAUACAGAAUAGAAUCACAUAUUGUUAGGGUAACAGUACUGGAUACAGAAUAGAAUCACAUACUGUUAGGGUUACAGUACUGGAUACAGAAUAGAAUCACAUAUUGUUAGGGUUACAGUACUGGAUGCAGAAUAGAAUCACAUAUUGUUAGGGUUACAGUACUGGAUACAGAAUAGAAUCACAUAUUGUUAGGGUUACAGUACUGGAUACAGAAUAGAAUCACAUAUUGUUAGGGUUACAGUACUGGAUGCAGAAUAGAAUCACAUAUUGUUAGGGUUACAGUACUGGAUGCAGAAUAGAAUCACAUAUUGUUAGGGUUACAGUACUGGAUGCAGAAUAGAAUCACAUAUUGUUAGGGUUACAGUACUGGAUGCAGAAUAGAAUCACAUAUUGUUAGGGUUACAGUACUGGAUACAGAAUAGAAUCACAUAUUGUUAGGGUUACAGUACUGGAUACAGAAUAGAAUCACAUAUUGUUAGGGUAACAGUACUGGAUACAGAAUAGAAUCACAUAUUGUUAGGGUAACAGUACUGGAUACAGAAUAGAAUCACAUACUGUUAGGGUUACAGUACUGGAUACAGAAUAGAAUCACAUAUUGUUAGGGUUACAGUACUGGAUGCAGAAUAGAAUCACAUAUUGUUAGGGUUACAGUACUGGAUACAGAAUAGAAUCACAUAUUGUUAGGGUUACAGUACUGGAUGCAGAAUAGAAUCACAUAUUGUUAGGGUUACAGUACUGGAUGCAGAAUAGAAUCACAUAUUGUUAGGGUUACAGUACUGGAUACAGAAUAGAAUCACAUAUUGUUAGGGUUACAGUACUGGAUACAGAAUAGAAUCACAUAUUGUUAGGGUUACAGUACUGGAUACAGAAUAGAAUCACAUAUUGUUAGGGUUACAGUACUGGAUACAGAAUAGAAUCACAUAUUGUUAGGUUUACAGUGCUUGAUACAGAAUAGAAUCACAUAUUGUUAGGGUUACAGUACUGAUACAGAAUAGAAUCACAUAUUGUUAGGUUUACAGUGCUGGAUACAGAAUAGAAUCACAUACUGUUAGGGUUACAGUACUGGAUACAGAAUAGAAUCACAUAUUGUUAGGGUUACAGUACCGGAUACAGAAUAGAAUCACAUAUUGUUAGGGUUACAGUACUGGAUGCAGAAUAGAAUCUAUAUUUUGAGAUUUAUAGGAGAUAAAGGAGAAUUAACUUUUCUAUCUCAGUGCUUUGAGCUUUCCAUCUUGGUUGAGGAAGUUAAUGAAAUGACCCCCGAUCUGUGUUUUCCCAUUUGCAGGAAUUAAGCUCCUAUACGACCUGUAUCUUUAUCCUGUUACUGGCGGUGUCCAUGACCUGCCCCUCGCGGGGAAUCUCCCAGGUGAGUAGUUAGAUGAAUUAAUAAAUGUAUCCAAAAUGUAUCAGCGUUUCUUAUGUGUAAUUUAAGGCAGCACUCUGUGCCCCUAGGAGCUGACUUUGUGUGUGAAUAGUCCUCAUUUUAAUUUUGCAAAAAGUGCAGAUUUCAUUAGAAAUUGACACUUUUAAAAAUUAACCUUGUCACACCCCCUGUCUGCCAAUCAGACACCCGGUCCUGUUACUUCCUAUUUUUUUCAACUCAGUAGAGGCAGUAACUGCCAAAAGCACCUGCCUUGCAAAAACGUCUCAUUGAACUGCAUUGGGAAGUCUGUGAUUGGACAGUCACAGAAAAUGUGGGCGGGGUUAGAAGGGGACGGUUUGCAAGGGCUGCAAACAAGAGAUCUAUAGCUUUUACAAGCUGGUUUUAGAUAUAACCACAAUGAAAACAUUUAGAAUUAAAUACAUGCAUGAUUUUAUUGGGAGUAUAUCUACUAAACAGUGAUUUAUAUUAUAAUUUUUUAUCCUGUGGGCAGUUGAGUGUCCUUUUAAUGUUUCUUUGUUUGUUUGUAUAUUUUUGUUUGCAUAGAAUCACUUCCAGAGAAGGAAUUGGACUCCCCAGGCCAUGCUUUACUUAAAGGGGGCAC